CCAAUAGCGUAUAUUAAAGUUGUUGCAGUUAAAAAGCUCGUAGUUGAAUUUCGGGAUCAGUACGCUGGUCGUGCCUUCGGUAUGAACUGGUGUCACUGGUUCCUCCCUUCUGAAGAACUGUCAUGCCAUUCAGUUGGUGUGGCGGGGAAUCAGGACUGUUACUUUGAAAAAAUUAGAGUGUUUAAAGCAGGCUCGCGCUUGAAUACAUUAGCAUGGAAUAGUGAAAUAGGACGUUUGAUCCUAUUUUGUUGGUUUCUAGGAUCGACGUAAUGAUUAAUAGGGAUAGUUGGGGGCAUUAGUAUUCAAUUGUCAGAGGUGAAAUUCUUGGAUUUAUUGAAGACUAACUACUGCGAAAGCAUUUGCCAAGGAUGUUUUCAUUAAUCAAGAACGAAAGUUAGGGGAUCGAAGACGAUCAGAUACCGUCGUAGUCUUAACCAUAAACUAUGCCGACUAGGGAUCGUAUGAUGUUAAUUUUUUAAUGACUCAUUCGGCGCCUUACG
rnacentral:rRNA from 1 species